CCGUGCGAAGGUAGCGCAAUCACUUGUCUUUUAAAUGGGGACCUGUAUGAAUGGCAUAACGAGGGCUUAACUGUCUCCUCUUUCAAGUCAAUGAAAUUGAUCUCCCCGUGCAGAAGCGAGGAUAAAUACAUAAGACGAGAAGACCCUAUGGAGCUUUCGACACUAAAGCAGAUCAGUAUCAAUACCCUGAACAUAGGCUACGAAUAUACUGAUCCCUGGCCCUAUUGUCUUUGGUUGGGGCGACCGCGGAGAAAAAAUAAAACCCCCGCAAGGACUAAAUGUACUACAUUCACAAAACAAGAGCGACAGCUCUAUCUAACCAGAACUUCUGACCCAAUAAGAUCCGGCAAUGCCGAUCAAAGAACCGAGUUACCCUGGGAUAACAAGCGCAAUCUCCUCUUUAGAGCCCUUUCGACAGGAGAGUUUACGAACUCAUUUGAUCAGACAUCCUAUUGGUGCAGCGCCUAUUUAGGGUUCGUUUGU
rnacentral:rRNA from 1 species